UGGGGGAUAUUGCACAAUGGGGGGAACCCUGAUGCAGCGACGCCGCGUGGGCGAUGAAAUACUCCGGUAUGUAAAGCCCUGUCAGCAGGGAAGAAGCAGGACAGUACCUGACCAAGAAGCCCCGGCUAACUACGUGCCAGCAGCCGCGGUAAUACGUAGGGGGCGAGCGUUAUCCGGAUUCACUGGGCGUAAAGGGAGCGCAGGCGGCACGGCAAGUCCGGUGUGAAAGCCCGGGGCCCAACCCCGGGACUGCACUGGAAACUGCCGGGCUGGAGUGUCGGAGGGGCAGGCGGAAUUCCUAGUGUAGCGGUGAAAUGCGCAGAUAUUAGGAGGAACACCGGUGGCGGAGGCGGCCUGCUGGACGACGACUGACGCUGAGGCUCGAAAGCGUGGGGAGCAAACAGG
rnacentral:rRNA from 1 species